CUAAAUCUUGCUUUGCAAUUUUGGAAUUAUUGCAUUUUUUUUUAAACUAUGCAAGUUAAUUACCUGUAAAGAAUAAUUCACUUUUUAGCUGGUCAUUCUCCUGUGCAGAUGGUGGCAUCCAUUCCAGGCCACCAAGCAGCAGCCGGUCGUGUCCUUACUGCGGUCAACAUUCCUCAGAAACAUGCAAUUGGCCAACGACCCAUAGCUCCGCAUGGCAUCGCAAUACAACAGACAGCCCAAGGAACUCCAAUGGUGAUCCAGGUUACGUCUGCAACAACACCGCAAGGCAAGCCAACUUUGGUCCAAGCUGCAGCAGUAAAAAGUGCUGCCUCUGGUGCUACACUUGUACCACAGAGUGGAAGUAAUGAGAGCUUGAAAGCCCCCAUCUCUGCUGCACCAAAGAUGGCCCAAGGAAGCCAAG